rnacentral:rRNA from 1 species
UACGUAGGAUGCAAGCGUUGUCCGGAAUUAUUGGGCGUAAAGAGCGCGCAGGCGGUAACUCAAGUCAGAUGUGAAAUAUCCGGGCUCAACCCGGAGGGGUCAUUUGAAACUGAGUAACUAGAGUACAGCAGAGGAUAGCGGAAUUCCCGGUGUAGUGGUGAAAUGCGUAGAUAUCGGGAGGAACACCAGUGGCGAAGGCGGCUAUCUGGGCUGAAACUGACGCUGAGGCGCGAAGGCUAGGGGAGCAAACAGG